rnacentral:lncRNA from 1 species
GCCUUCUCAUCACAGGUAUAGACAGAGCUUGGUGCUCUGAAGCACACAGUAGUCUCACUUCUAACUCAUCCAUUAAAAAAAAAAAAAAAAAAAAAGAAAACAAGAGAAAAAAAAGUCCAAUCCUUUAUAAGGAGCAGCAGUAGAUAGUCCUAAAGUGCAUAUUGUAAUUUUUUAUCUCUUUUCUCACCAAAAGUGUAAUGCAUCUCUCAGUGCCCUUUCCCAUGACUAAAACAGGAGUGUACAUCUACUCUGGAACUACCUGGAACUACCUUCUAUUGGCACAGGAGGAUUACCCUACAUCCAUUGGAUGGUUUGGGUCUGCAGAUAAGUCCUAAUGGAAGUGAAGAGGGAGAAGAGAUGUUCCCUGCUCCCCAGGCACACAGGCCUGGAUAGCUGCAAUCCAGUUACAAACCUCCUCAGUGUCGGGCCAAGAGGAGGGGGAUUCUGCACUUGCAGGUGUGAUGUGGAGGUGGCUUCACAUGCGUGGGGAGGCAGGAAAAUUCAUUCCUGUACCUCACAGCUGGCAGCGAGUCCCGUACAGAGGAGCACCAAUACUGAAGGGCUGGAGCAUGGAAGAGGCUCUGAUGCCAUUACAGCUCCAAAGAUCAGGGCUUGACGGCGUUGGUACCUAAAAGGAUCAUUAAGUAGUUGCAAAUGACCGUAACACUUUAAAGAGGACUUAAUCAAGCAGAGCCGGGAUGUCUUGACAAUCUGAUAAGUGCAGCAUGCAAUUCAGAGAAUGCAAAGGCCAGGGAUGUGUGACUGGCCUUUGGGACUGAUUGUUCUGAAACAGCUCUGCUUUUUCUUUUCGAAGAGAAAUUUGAAUUACCCGGCCUUUCAAAAAUAACUGUUUAUCUUUAAAAUCAUCUCAUUUAUCAAACACUUAAAUCAGUGCAGAUUUCCUGUAAUUCAUCCUUAACCCACAGCUGAACAAAAUUCUCUUCUAUCAAGGAAUGCCGAAACUACUGGUGUUAAUUUGGUGCCUUCCAGUUAUCCAUGUCAAAAGGUGUUAAUUCGUGUAGGAAGGUUAACUCCAACUGCUUGUAUUUUUGGCGUUGUUUCCCAGGCACUUAGAUCAGUUUACAGGUACUGUAUUUAAACAACAAGUAUAGCUAGCAAAAAAAAAAAGAAAAAAAAAAAAAGAAGUUUAUUUGUGAUUUUAAGUUAGUUGUAUACACAGAUAAAUAGUUCAUUUUACAUAAUUAAGAAUAAACUCAUCAAGGGCUGCCCUGUUUAAAAACA